CGAAUACGAGACGCUAAGGCGUCGAAGUAGUGUAUGUCAUACUUCCAAGAAAAGCUUGCACUGUCAUAAAUAAGAAAUGCCUGUACCAUAACCGACACAGGUGGGUAGGUAGAGUAUACUAAGGGGCGCGAGAUAACUCUCUCUAAGGAACUCGGCAAAAUGACUCCGUAACUUCGGGAGAAGGAGUGCCUUAUUUAUAAGGUUGCAAUAACAAGAUCCAAGCAACUGUUUAUCAAAAACACAGGUCUCCGCUAAGUCGUAAGGCGAUGUAUGGGGGCUGACGCCUGCCCAGUGCCAGAAGGUUAAAGAAGUUGGUUAGCAUUAGCGAAGCUGAUAACUGAAGCCCUGGUGAACGGCGGCCGUAACAAUAACGGUCCUAAGGUAGCGAAAUUCCUUGUCGGGUAAGUUCCGACCCGCACGAAAGGCGUAAUGAUUUGGAUACUGUCUCGGAGAGGGGCUCGGUGAAAUAGACUUGUCUGUGAAGAUGCGGACUACCUGCACCUGGACAGAAAGACCCUAUGAAGCUUUACUGUAACUUGAAAUUGAGAUUGGACUUUAGUCGCGCAGCAUAGGUGGGAGGCUUUGAUGAUGUUCUUGCGGGAACAUUGGAGCUAUCAGUGAGAUACCACUCUUCUAAUGUUAGAUUUCUAACUUUGAACCAUUAUCUGGUCAAAGGACAGUUUCAGGCGGGCAGUUUGACUGGGGCGGUCGCCUCCCAAAUGGUAACGGAGGCGUACAAAGGUUUCCUCUGAACGGAUAGAAAUCGUAUCUAGAGUGUAAAGGCAUAAGGAAGCUUGACUGUGAGACCUACAAGUCGAGCAGGGACGAAAGUCGGUCUUAGUGAUCUGACGGUACUGAGUGGAAAGGCCGUCACUCAACGGAUAAAAGUUACUCUAGGAUAACAGGCUGAUCUCCCCCAAGAGUUCACAUCGACGGGGAGGUUUGGCACCUCGAUGUCGGCUCAUCGCAUCCUGGGGCGGUAGUACGUCCCAAGGGUUUGGCUGUUCGCCCAUGAAAGCGGUACGCGAGCUGGGUUCAGAACGUCGUGAGACAGUUCGGUCCAUAUCCGGUGUAGGCGUUAGAAUAUUGAGAGGAGCCUUCUUUAGUACGAGAGGGCCGAGAAGGACAUACCUCUGGUGUACCAGUUAUCGUGCCAACGGUAAACGCUGGGUAGCUAUGUAUGGAGUGGAUAACCGCUGAAAGCAUCUAAGUGGGAAGCCCACCUCAAGAUGAGUAUUCUCA
rnacentral:rRNA from 1 species